AGGUGUGCAGGCGCUGGGAGCCUGAAGGGGAGCACGUGCCGGAGGGGAGGGGGGCAGCCCCCGAUGCUCCGGGUCGGGGACUCAUUUUUAUUUAUGAACUUGCUCUUUCUUGAAUGCCAGAGAAUCCUGGAAGACGGAGUCAAGCACAUUCAAGAGCGGAGGAAAGUGGAAGUUGUUGGGAAGACUAAAGGAGCUAAUUCCUGAUGCAAAGUCUACUGCAUUGCACCUGGUUCAGGAUACAUACCUAAUGAAGGUGGGAUGCCCUUAUUAGUGGGCAAGUCUCACCUCAAUAUAAAGUGAGCGUUAGUAGCAGAGCCUUCCUCAUUGUGGCUCUCAAGGAGAAAUUGUGUGAACAUAGUGGUAAGAUUUGGGUCUAUUCUCACAAGAAAGGAGGAACUGGGAGCAGGGCCGAUCCCGUAGGUGGGAGCCUCAGAGCCAGGCAGAAAGAGCUGGAAUGGCAGAGGUGGAGAAGUCACUGAGGGGCUGGCUCACCCCUACCCAGCGGCCCUUCGAACAACACCAGCAGCGAUGCCUGCAGACGUGUGCAUCUCCGUUACAGCCAACUAUGGAUGUCUCUGCCUCCUGCCCCCCAAGGAAAAUCAUUUCCAUAUCACCCAAGCAACCAAGGCCCAGAGCCAAGUCAGCUUCCUAGAGGGAUUCCUGCUGUAGCCAAGCAGCCAGGAUUGACAUGCAUGUCCAAUGAGUUGGGCCAUAUUUGCCAAAGGGCGGCCAAGUGCAGGCUCUAAGAGCUGAGGACUGCAGAGGCGGCCCAUAAGUGGCCACCAGCCCCAUUACCAACACCAGCAUUAUCAACAGAGCCUUCAAGGGUCUGCUCGGGCUCUGCAUGGACUGGCCCCCACUCACCUCACCAGCCUCAUGCUGCACGGCGCUCCCCUGUUCUCAGGGCUUCGGUCAUCACCAGUGUCUCCAGUUCCUUGAGGUCCUUCUGCCUGGACACUCUUUCCCAUCUGUGUGAUCUGGUGACCUCAGGCUCUUCUUUAGAUCAUAUGUCCAGUGUUCCCCCUGGCGGAGGCUGUUUCUUACCUCCUGAAGUUGUCUCCUGGCUGCACCACCUUCCCUCCAGACCCAAAUGAGGGACCCCCGUCAAGGACAACACUGGGUUUCACCAAUCACCCCCACAACAAGCUGUCUAGGACUCUGCAAGACUGCUUUCUGGCCUU
rnacentral:lncRNA from 1 species